rnacentral:rRNA from 1 species
ACUGCUCAGUAACACGUGGACAACCUACCCUUGGGUCCGGCAUAAUCCUGGGAAACUGGGAAUAAUUCCGGAUAGGUCACCGAUGCUGGAAUGCGCGGUGGCCGAAAGCUCCGGCGCCCGAGGAUGGGUCUGCGGCCUAUCAGGGUUGUAGUGGGUGUAACGUACCUACUAGCCUACGACGGGUACGGGUUGUGAGAGCAAGAGCCCGGAGAUGGAUUCUGAGACACGAAUCCAGGCCCUACGGGGUGCAGCAGGCGCGAAAACUUUACAAUGCGGGAAACCGUGAUAAGGGAAUCUCGAGUGCCAGCAUAUAAUGUUGGCUGUCCAGAUGCCUAAAAAGCAUCUGUUAGCAAGGGCCGGGCAAGACCGGUGCCAGCCGCCGCGGUAACACCGGCGGCCCGAGUGGUAACCGCUUUUAUUGGGUCUAAAGGGUCUGUAGCCGGCCAAGUAAGUCCCUUGGGAAAUCUGGCAGCUUAACUGUCAGGCUGCUAGGGGAUACUGCUAGGCUUGGGACCGGGAGAGGUGAGAGGUACCUUGGGGGUAGGGGUGAAAUCUUGUGAUCCUCGGGGGACCACCAGUGGCGAAGGCGUCUCACCAGAACGGGUCCGACGGUAAGGGACGAAAGCUAGGGGCACGAACCGGAUUAGAUACCCGGGUAGUCCUAGCCGUAAACGAUGCUCGCUAGGUGUCAGUCACGGUGCGACCGUGAUUGGUGCCGUAGGGAAGCCGUGAAGCGAGCCACCUGGGAAGUAUGGCCGCAAGGCUGAAACUUAAAGGAAUUGGCGGGGGAGCAC